rnacentral:rRNA from 1 species
GACGAACGCUGGCGGCGUGCUUAACACAUGCCAGUCGAACGGAAAGGCCCUGCUUGCAGGGUACUCGAGUGGCGAACGGGUGAGUAACACGUGGGUGAUCUGCCCUGCACUUCGGGAUAAGCUUGGGAAACUGGGUCUAAUACCGGAUAGGAACCAUCUUUAGUGUGGUGGUUGGAAAGUUUUUUCGGUGUAGGAUGAGCUCGCGGCCUAUCAGCUUGUUGGUGGGGUAAUGGCCUACCAAGGCGGCGACGGGUAGCCGGCCUGAGAGGGUGUACGGCCACAUUGGGACUGAGAUACGGCCCAGACUCCUACGGGAGGCAGCAGUGGGGAAUAUUGCACAAUGGGCGCAAGCCUGAUGCAGCGACGCCGCGGGGGGGAUGAAGGCCUUCGGGUUGUAAACUCCUUUCGCUAGGGACGAAGCUUUUUGUGACGGUACCUAGAUAAGAAGCACCGGCUAACUACGUG